AUGACUCACAGCCCAGCCAGUGUCUCCUCUUCCGCACCCACGCUGCGGGGUCUGUUUCUAGACUGCCUGGUUGUAUGCGGGGUUCCGGGAACCCGGAUCUUCCAGCGUCUUGUCUUAACGGGAACGUUCCAUCCGUGGUUUUGUCCGAGUGUCCGGCGCGUGGGUUGCAGCCACUGUCCUGAAGCUCUAGGCGGUGAUGAGCUCUCUGACCCAAGGCAAAGCCACCUGUGUUCCGCUCGUUCCGUCGCUGGCCCUGCACUGCGGGUGUUUAAUCGCACCGGGAGGUUUUCUGACGGAGGCAGUUGUGUGUCCUGCCCACUGGAGAGAGGGCCCCUGGAGCGAAUCCGGCUGGGCGUGGCUCUGCCUCUUCCACCUCUGGACCAGUGAAAACCUCUCCAGCUGCUCUGAGGCCCGUGCUGCUAUCAGAUGGCCCUGAUGGCUGCAGACCCGGCAUGUCUCAGUCCUUAAAAGUCCUAAAUGAGGCUGGGCGCGGGGGCUCACGCCUGUAAUCCCAGCACUUUGGGAGGCUGAGGCGGGUGGAUCACGAGGUCAAGAGAUCGAGACCAUCCUGGUCAACAUGGUGAAAACCCAUCUCUACUAAAAAUACAAAAAUUAGCUGGGCAUGGUGGUGCGUGCCUGUGGUCCCAGCUACUCGGGAGGCUGAGGCAGGAGAAUUGCUUGAACCCAGGAGGUGGAGGUGACGGUGAGCCAUUGCACUCCAGUCUGGGUAACAGUGAAACUCCGUCCCAAAAAAAGAAAAGUCCUAAAUGAGCUAACAAACCAUUCGUGAGAUCUUUUCCAUCCUUACAAAGACCUGGAAAGCCUGUCAGAACUUGGAAAUGGGCUGAGGUGGGUUCUGGAAGGUGGCGUGGGGUGCCCCGGCCUCCUCUUCCCAGGUCGGGACCCUCCAGCACCACCACAGCCCUCAGUAAAUAGCUGUCCUUGGCUGCCCCUCAGGCCUGGGGUAGCCCCCUUGGAGGAGGGACCUGGGAGAGGCCCGUGCAGGUCCCUUGGCUAGGGGUCUUUGGGCAGAGAAAUCUCAACCCAUUGUGGAGCAAGAAGGAAGGGGCAUGGGAGGCUGGGGGAGACGAACCUUCCCACCAAGCUCUUCCCCUGGCACAGGGCUACGUUCCCCUCAGUCCCCAACUUAGGGCUGCACAGAGGGGCAGAACUAGGGGUGCUGAGGUCCAGGGUUGGGAGGGGCCUCAUGCCUGAGGGGAGAAGAGAAGCAGCAGCAAAUUAGCACAAGGCGGCCCAGAGUGGUGACCAGGAAGUGGCUGUGUAAGGUGGCCGUGUUCAGCCGCUGCUAGGGUCAGACCUGUAGGCUGGAUCCUGAGCUGCCCUCUGGAGAAGGCAGCCCUCCAUGCCCAGGCAUCCCUGGGCUUUCCCCGGGUGAGCAGCAGCAGCUGGGAAACCUAUCCCACAGGAGGGACAUCGCAGGGCCCUUGAGCCGGAG
rnacentral:lncRNA from 1 species